rnacentral:rRNA from 1 species
UACGUAGGGUGCAAGCGUUAUCCGGAAUUAUUGGGCGUAAAGAGCUCGUAGGCGGUUUGUCGCGUCUGCCGUGAAAGUCCGGGGCUCAACUCCGGAUCUGCGGUGGGUACGGGCAGACUAGAGUGAUGUAGGGGAGACUGGAAUUCCUGGUGUAGCGGUGAAAUGCGCAGAUAUCAGGAGGAACACCGAUGGCGAAGGCAGGUCUCUGGGCAUUAACUGACGCUGAGGAGCGAAAGCGUGGGGAGCGAACAGG